rnacentral:lncRNA from 1 species
UCAAGUCCAGAUGGUCGCGUUGUAGGUGGUGGAGUUGCUGGUCUACUUGUAGCAGCAGGUCCUGUGCAGGUGAAAAUUCUUCACUCAACCCUCUAUGUUAUUCUCAAUGAUGCAUGUGAUCAUGUGCUUGGUUUGAGUUCUAAGGACUAAGGUUGAAUUCAAAAAAGUCUUCCAAGAUAUCAUAUUUUCUGUGUUGUUCUUGAAGACUUCAUCAAGAAGUUAGACAUUACAUUUUAUUUCUCAAGGUUCAAAUGAAGGAUCACUUGGAUUCCUUGAUGUUAUCAGGUGGUGGUGGGA